rnacentral:misc_RNA from 1 species
GUUUGUCUCAGGAACUCUGCUGAAAGGUCCGAAACGGAGUCCAAGGCCUCGAGGUCCGAAUGGGAUGGAAAGGAAGUCGGUUAUCUGGGCUCGAUAAAAAAGUUGGAAGAAGAAACCACUUCCCUGAAAGUCAAAAUGGAAGAGCUGGUCGACUCUCUCAAAGGAGUCGAGAACGAAGCACAGGCUGCGAGAGAUUCUGAAACUGAUUUGAUGACCAAGCUGAAGGAGGCUGAAACUGAGAUGAAGACUAAAUUGAGACAAGCCGAGUCUGGCGUGGCCGAUGCAAAUGCAGUGGCAGAAGCUGCAAAGGCUGAGACUCUGAAGCUGAAGG